CGGACGGGUGAGUAAUGUCUGGGAAACUGCCUGAUGGAGGGGGGUAACUACUGGAAACGGUAGCUAAUACCGCAUAACGUCGCAAGACCAAAGAGGGGGACCUUCGGGCCUCUUGCCAUCAGAUGUGCCCAGAUGGGAUUAGCUAGUAGGUGGGGUAACGGCUCACCUAGGCGACGAUCCCUAGCUGGUCUGAGAGGAUGACCAGCCACACUGGAACUGAGACACGGUCCAGACUCCUACGGGAGGCAGCAUG
rnacentral:rRNA from 1 species